rnacentral:rRNA from 1 species
UACGAAGGGGGCUAGCGUUACUCGGAAUCACUGGGCGUAAAGGGUGCGUAGGCGGGUCUUUAAGUCAGGGGUGAAAUCCUGGAGCUCAACUCCAGAACUGCCUUUGAUACUGAGGAUCUUGAGUUCGGGAGAGGUGAGUGGAACUGCGAGUGUAGAGGUGAAAUUCGUAGAUAUUCGCAAGAACACCAGUGGCGAAGGCGGCUCACUGGCCCGAUACUGACGCUGAGGCACGAAAGCGUGGGGAGCAAACAGG